AACGAACGCUGGCGGCGCGCCUAACACAUGCAAGUCGAACGGGGAUCGUCCCUUCGGGGGCGGUCCUAGUGGCGAACGGGUGAGUAACGCGUGGGUACCUGCCCUGUACACACGGAUAACAUACCGAAAGGUAUGCUAAUACGAGAUAACAUACUUUUAUCGCAUGGUAGAAGUAUCAAAGCUCUGGCGGUACAGGAUGGACCCGCGUCUGAUUAGCUAGUUGGUGAGGUAACGGCUCACCAAGGCGACGAUCAGUAGCCGACCUGAGAGGGUGAUCGGCCACAUUGGAACUGAGACACGGUCCAAACUCCUACGGGAGGCAGCAGUGGGGAAUAUUGCACAAUGGGCGAAAGCCUGAUGCAGCAACGCCGCGUGAGCGAUGAAGGCCUUCGGGUCGUAAAGCUCUGUCCUCAAGGAAGAUAAUGACGGUACUUGAGGAAGAAGCCCCGGCUAACUACGUGCCAGCCGCCGCCGUAAAAC
rnacentral:rRNA from 1 species